rnacentral:rRNA from 1 species
ACGGCUCAGUAACACGUAGUCAACAUGCCCAGGGGACGUGGAUAACCUCGGGAAACUGAGGAUAAACCGCGAUAAGUCACUACUUCUGGAAUGGGUAAUGACUCAAAUCUAUAUGGCCCCUGGAUUGGACUGCGGCCGAUCAGGCUGUUGGUGAGGUAAUGGCCCACCAAACCUGUAACCGGUACGGGCUCUGAGAGGAGGAGCCCGGAGAUGGGCACUGAGACAAGGGCCCAGGCCCUAUGGGGCGCAGCAGGCGCGAAACCUCUGCAAUAGGCGAAAGCUUGACAGGGUUACUCUGAGUGAUUUCCGUUAAGGAAAUCUUUUGGCACCUCUAAAAAUGGUGCAGAAUAAGGGGUGGGCAAGUCUGGUGUCAGCCGCCGCGGUAAUACCAGCACCCCGAGUGGUCGGGACGUUUAUUGGGCCUAAAGCAUCCGUAGCCGGUUCUACAAGUCUUCCGUUAAAUCCAACUGCUUAACAGGUGGGCUGCGGAAGAUACUAUAGAGCUAGGAGGCGGGAGAGGCAAGCGGUACUCGAUGGGUAGGGGUAAAAUCCGUUGAUCCAUUGAAGACCACCAGUGGCGAAGGCGGCUUGCCAGAACGCGCUCGACGGUGAGGGAUGAAAGCUGGGGGAGCAAACCGGAUUAGAUACCCGGGUAGUCCCAGCUGUAAACGAUGCAGACUCGGUGAUGAGUUGGCUAUAUGCCAACUCAGUGCCGCAGGGAAGCCGUUAAGUUUGCCGCCUGGGGAGUACGGCCGCAAGACUGAAACUUAAAGGAAUUGGCGGGGGAGCAC